rnacentral:rRNA from 1 species
AUUGAACGCUGGCGGCAUGCCUUACACAUGCAAGUCGAACGGCAGCGGGCCUUCGGGUGCCGGCGAGUGGCGAACGGGUGAGUAAUGCAUCGGAACGUGCCAUUGAGUGGGGGAUAACGUAGCGAAAGUUACGCUAAUACCGCAUAUUCUGUGAGCAGGAAAGCAGGGGACCGCAAGGCCUUGCGCUCUUUGAGCGGCCGAUGUCAGAUUAGCUAGUUGGUGAGGUAAAGGCUUACCAAGGCGACGAUCUGUAGCGGGUCUGAGAGGAUGAUCCGCCACACUGGAACUGAGACACGGUCCAGACUCCUACGGGAGGCAGCAGUGGGGAAUUUUGGACAAUGGGCGCAAGCCUGAUCCAGCCAUGCCGCGUGAGUGAAGAAGGCCUCGGUUGUAAAGCUCUUCGGUCCGGGAAGGAAAUCGCAUGGGUAAUACCCUAGUGUGGAUGACGGUACCGGAAUAAGAAG